UACGUAGGGCGCAAGCGUUGUCCGGAAUUAUUGGGCGUAAAGAGCUCGUAGGCGGUCUGUUACGUCUGCUGUGAAAACCCAGGGCUUAACCCUGGGCUUGCAGUGGAUACGGGCAGACUAGAGGCAGGUAGGGGAGAAUGGAAUUCCCGGUGUAGCGGUGAAAUGCGCAGAUAUCGCGAGGAACACCGGUGGCGAAGGCGGUUCUCUGGGCCUGACCUGACGCUGAGGAGCGAAAGCGUGGGGAGCGAACAGG
rnacentral:rRNA from 1 species